rnacentral:rRNA from 1 species
GUUCCUGGAUCCUKGCUCAKAUUGAACGCUGSCGUUUUGCUUAACACAUGCAAGUCGAGCGGGGAAGGGUAGCUUGCUACCUAACCUAGCGGCGGACGGGUGAGUAAUGCUUAGGAAUCUGCCAUUUAGUGGGGGACAACAUUCCGAAAGGAAUGCUAAUACCGCAUACGUCCUACGGGAGAAAGCAGGGGAUCUUCGGACCUUGCGCUAAAUGAUGAGCCUAAGUCGGAUUAGCUAGUUGGUGGGGUAAAGGCCUACCAAGGCGACGAUCUGUAGCGGGUCUGAGAGGAUGAUCCGCCACACUGGGACUGAGACACGGCCCAGACUCCUACGGGAGGCCGCAGUGGGGAAUAUUGGACAAUGGGCGGAAGCCUGAUCCAGCCAUGCCGCGUGUGUGAAGAAGGCCUUUCGGUUGUAAAGCACUUUAAGCGAGGAGGAGGCUACUUAGAUUAAUACUCUAGGAUAGUGGACGUUACUCGCAGAAUAAGCACCGGCUAACUCUGUGCCAGCAGCCGCGGUAAUACAGAGGGUGCGAGCGUUAAUCGGAUUUACUGGGCGUAAAGCGUGCGUAGGCGGCUUUUUAAGUCGGAUGUGAAAUCCCCGAGCUUAACUUGGGAAUUGCAUUCGAUACUGGGAAGCUAGAGUAUGGGAGAGGAUGGUAGAAUUCCAGGUGUAGCGGUGAAAUGCGUAGAGAUCUGGAGGAAUACCGAUGGCGAAGGCAGCCAUCUGGCCUAAUACUGACGCUGAGGUACGAAAGCAUGGGGAGCAAACAGGAUUAGAUACCCUGGUAGUCCAUGCCGUAAACGAUGUCUACUAGCCGUUGGGGCCUUUGAGGCUUUAGUGGCGCAGCUAACGCGAUAAGUAGACCGCAUGGGGAGCCCGGUUG